GGUAUCUUAAUUAAUUACAAUUAGCAGGACCUGCCUGACAACCCAUGCCGAAAGUAAAGGGAAUUUAAUUUGCUAGCACUAUAUUUAACCCUAUAACCUUCCGAGACACCAUAAAACCUGUACAUGGGGGGUACUGUUCUACUCGGGAGACUUCGCUGAACACAAAUAUUAGUGUUUCAAAACAGUAAAAUGUAUUACAACGAUGAUA